UACGGGAGGCAGCAGUGGGGAAUAUUGCACAAUGGGCGCAAGCCUGAUGCAGCCAUGCCGCGUGUAUGAAGAAGGCCUUCGGGUUGUAAAGUACUUUCAGUCGUGAGGAAGGUGUUAAGGUUAAUAACCUUAGCAAUUGACGUUAGCGACAGAAGAAGCACCGGCUAACUCCGUGCCAGCAGCCGCGGUAAUACGGAGGGUGCGAGCGUUAAUCGGAAUUACUGGGCGUAAAGGGCACGCAGGCGGUUAAUUAAGUUGGAUGUGAAAUCCCCGGGCUUAACCUGGGAAUGGCAUUCAAGACUGGUUAGCUAGAGUCUUGUAGAGGGGGUUAGAAUUCCAUGUGUAGCGGUGAAAUGCGUAGAGAUGUGGAGGAAUACCGGUGGCGAAGGCGGCCCCUGGGACAAAGACUGACGCUCAUGUGCGAAAGCGUGGGGAGCAAACAGGGAUUAGAUACC
rnacentral:rRNA from 1 species